GGGUGUGAGGUGAUCUGGCUGCGACAUCCGUCACCCCACUGAUCCCCAGGGUUGAUUUGGCUGAUCUGGCUGGCUAGGUGGGUGUCCCCUUCCUCCCUCACUGCUCCAUGUGCGUCCCUCCCAAAGCUGAGCGCUCAGUCGAAGAGGACGGCCUUCCCCGAAUAGAGACGGACUGGUCUUCAGUCGAGGGUAUACGAGUAGCUGUGCUCCCUGCUAGAACCUCCAAAUAAGCUCUCAUUUCUUCCUGAAGAAUAAAAUCAAGGCACCAGCAUUUCUCCCUGUGAAUCUGUGCCACUGCUUGGUGGCCCCAUCUGGG
rnacentral:snRNA from 1 species